rnacentral:lncRNA from 1 species
GAAGUAGAGGCGUGUUCUUCCGUGUGCCAUGUUUCUCUGCUCUCUGUGCUCUCCUUUGGGAGCCGGCUGAAAGAUUGGUCUGAUUUGUUUUGAUGUCUGCUGACAGGGGCCUUAGGGAAUUGCCAGCGAUCUACAACGUGGCGACAUGCAUCUGAGUAACUUCGUUAUGGGAGCUGCAUCUGCACGAACCAUUUGGUCUUGUGUGUAGAAAUAUCCUUGAAUGCAGUGACUUAUGAAGACGUGCAUGUGAACUUCACUCGGGAAGAGUGGGCUUUGCUAAAUCUGUCUCAGAAGAAGCUCUACAAAGAUGUCAUGCUGGAGACCUACAGGAACCUCAAUACUAUAGGCUUUAAUUGGGAAGACCACAAUAUUGAAGAACAUCGUCAGAGUUCUAGAAGACAUGGAAGAUUCUAAACACAUUGUCAUUUCGGGAUGGAGGAAAACAGA